rnacentral:rRNA from 1 species
UACGUAGGGGGCUAGCGUUGUCCGGAUUUAUUGGGCGUAAAGAGCGUGUAGGCGGCCAAGUAGGUCCGGUGUGAAAACUCGAGGCUUAACCUCGAGAUGUCAUCGGAAACCAUUUGGCUAGAGUCCGGAAGAGGAAAGUGGAAUUCCUGGUGUAGCGGUGAAAUGCGCAGAUAUCAGGAGGAACACCGGUGGCGAAAGCGCUCAUCUGGCCCAAUACUGACGCUGAGGCGCGAAAGCUAGGGGAGCAAACGGG